AUUGAAGAGUUUGAUCAUGGCUCAGAUUGAACGCUGGCGGCAGGCCUAACACAUGCAAGUCGAGCGGUAGCACAGAGAGCUUGCUCUCGGGUGACGAGCGGCGGACGGGUGAGUAAUGUCUGGGAAACUGCCUGAUGGAGGGGGAUAACUACUGGAAACGGUAGCUAAUACCGCAUAACGUCGCAAGACCAAAGUGGGGGACCUUCGGGCCUCAUGCCAUCAGAUGUGCCCAGAUGGGAUUAGCUAGUAGGUGGGGUAACGGCUCACCUAGGCGACGAUCCCUAGCUGGUCUGAGAGGAUGACCAGCCACACUGGAACUGAGACACGGUCCAGACUCCUACGGGAGGCAGCAGUGGGGAAUAUUGCACAAUGGGCGCAAGCCUGAUGCAGCCAUGCCGCGUGUGUGAAGAAGGCCUUCGGGUUGUAAAGCACUUUCAGCGGGGAGGAAGGCGUUAAGGUUAAUAACCUUGGCGAUUGACGUUACCCGCAGAAGAAGCACCGGCUAACUCCGUGCCAGCAGCCGCGGUAAUACGGAGGGUGCAAGCGUUAAUCGGAAUUACUGGGCGUAAAGCGCACGCAGGCGGUCUGUCAAGUCGGAUGUGAAAUCCCCGGGCUCAACCUGGGAACUGCAUUCGAAACUGGCAGGCUAGAGUCUUGUAGAGGGGGGUAGAAUUCCAGGUGUAGCGGUGAAAUGCGUAGAGAUCUGGAGGAAUACCGGUGGCGAAGGCGGCCCCCUGGACAAAGACUGACGCUCAGGUGCGAAAGCGUGGGGAGCAAACAGGAUUAGAUACCCUGGUAGUCCACGCCGUAAACGAUGUCGAUUUGGAGGUUGUGCCCUUGAGGCGUGGCUUCCGGAGCUAACGCGUUAAAUCGACCGCCUGGGGAGUACGGCCGCAAGGUUAAAACUCAAAUGAAUUGACGGGGGCCCGCACAAGCGGUGGAGCAUGUGGUUUAAUUCGAUGCAACGCGAAGAACCUUACCUGGUCUUGACAUCCACAGAACUUUCCAGAGAUGGAUUGGUGCCUUCGGGAACUGUGAGACAGGUGCUGCAUGGCUGUCGUCAGCUCGUGUUGUGAAAUGUUGGGUUAAGUCCCGCAACGAGCGCAACCCUUAUCCUUUGUUGCCAGCGGUCCGGCCGGGAACUCAAAGGAGACUGCCAGUGAUAAACUGGAGGAAGGUGGGGAUGACGUCAAGUCAUCAUGGCCCUUACGACCAGGGCUACACACGUGCUACAAUGGCAUAUACAAAGAGAAGCGACCUCGCGAGAGCAAGCGGACCUCAUAAAGUAUGUCGUAGUCCGGAUUGGAGUCUGCAACUCGACUCCAUGAAGUCGGAAUCGCUAGUAAUCGUAGAUCAGAAUGCUACGGUGAAUACGUUCCCGGGCCUUGUACACACCGCCCGUCACACCAUGGGAGUGGGUUGCAAAAGAAGUAGGUAGCUUAACCUUCGGGAGGGCGCUUACCACUUUGUGAUUCAUGACUGGGGUGAAGUCGUAACAAGGUAACCGUAGGGGAACCUGCGGUUGGAUCACCUCCUU
rnacentral:rRNA from 1 species